rnacentral:lncRNA from 1 species
AAAUAAUCUAAACUUGCACUAAGUAAUUCAAACACACUAGUUAUCUAAGCCCAAACAUCAAAUACAAUUGCACAAUUUUUCUACUAAAUUUUCAAUUGAAGUUCAUGAUUGACAUCUCUCCCUUAAGCUUUCUUCUUGAUCCGUGUAGCGAGCUUUAGAUUGAUAGUUCCUCAAUUUUGUAGACCAAAAAGUACCAGGUUUUGAGAUACCUCUAUGGACUUAAUAACUCAACUUAAAAAGGCUACGAAAUGAAGCCUAAAUUCAACAAGUACAAUGUUUUUUUUAAGUACAACAAAACUAAUGUGGUUUAGAUCUCUAGCAUAUCGUCUUUACCUAGCUUACACUUAACAAAUGAUACUAUACACAAAAUUUUUUCAACAUUCGUGGAAUCAACACACAUCUAGGUAAUAUUUUUCACUAGCUUGAUCACCACAAACUUAUCUCACAAUAAGGUUAAGUGAUAAAGAAUGUAAAUUGAUAUAAAUUUUCAAACAACACACAACCUAAUUCUACCAAUUCAAAAUUUUCUCCAUCUAUCAAAAAGUUUUACAGCUAGAUAAUAAUUAAUCAUGACUAUUAUGCUCAAAGUGAUUUGGAAUCUCAUAUGGACAAGCAAAAUUUUUGAAAAAUAUUGGGCACGAAUGACAUAUUUGGUCAUGCAUAGCUCAUGAAUCAACAAUAAUUUUAAAUAUCAAACAAUCCUAAACCUGCCAGGCUAAUCUCACAUGUCAACACAAAAUCACAACAAUUUAAGCACAAUUACCCCAAACUUAAAUCACACAUUAUCCUUGAUGUGUAAAAGAACAAGAUAAAAUAGAAGAAGGGAUAACCAAACUUUCGCGAUCGUACAUUCAUGAAGAGGUAUCAAUGCUCGAUUUGGACUUGUGAUGCUCUUGAAUAGAUUGGGCAAGUAACCUUCUUAUAUACCAAUUCAUGCCAAACUUAGCUUGGAACCAUGGAUAAAUGGGAUUUUAAAAAUUACCUACAAAAACAAUGAUAGCUAAUCAAAUAAAAAAUGAGAAAAUGCAUAAAAUUAAAUAAAAAGAUUAAAAGUUAGAAAAUUGGGUUGCCUCCCAAUAAACAUUAUUUUAUAAUCUUUUACUCUAACUCAUGGGCAUCUAAAGAAGGCUUUGGAUGUCUUUUUUUUUUUCUUCAUAUGACUUUGUUGCUUACUUUAUUAUUUCUCCAAUACUCAAUAUUGUUCCUUUCAUUAUAAUAGGACUUGCAUAUUUCAUUUAAUUCAAAUCCAACUAUGAAGAUUUUCAACUCCUCAUUGAGCUUAAUCACAAAAUCGAUUUCCAAGCAAUCCAUGAGUGUAUGUUAUUUUCAUUCUCAUUGAUUAUCAUAUCCUUGUUUAGCUCCGUUGUGAUUAAUUUCACUAAUUUUAGGCUCUUCUUCAAUAGUUAAACUCUCAUCAGGUUGAAUGAUUGGUCUGCAAUCAAUCUCAAUGGAAAUGGCAAGUCUUUCCUAUUAACUCAGUCGAAUGGAUUAUACCCCCAUUAUUGAAACCUAUCCCAGUACAUAUAAUCUCCCAUAAGCAUGUCGCUG